CCUCAAUGAUGAGUCACCAUGGCUAAGACUGAGUCACCUGUGUUGCCCUGAUUUGGGUGCCAGUGAGUUAAAAAAAAAGAAAAAGAAAAAGAAAAAAGAGUC